ACAUUGAAACACCGAUUCUCGUACGAUCACCGAAGUUAAGCAACGUCGAGUCUGGUCAAUACAAAGAUGAAUGACCGCUUCGGAAUAUCAGGUGUUGUAUG